GAGGACAUGGUUCAAAUGGUAGAGCAUUUGCCUGGCAAGUAUAAGGCUCUGAGUUCAAAUCCCAAGACCUCA
rnacentral:tRNA from 1 species